GUCCACGCUGUAAACGAUGGGCACUAGGUGUCGCGGGUAUUGACCCCUGCGGUGCCGCAGCUAACGCAUUAAGUGCCCCGCCUGGGGACUACGGCCGCAAGGUUAAAACUCAAAGGAAUUGACGGGGGCCCGCACAAGCGGUGGAGCAUGUGGUUCAAUUCGACGCAACGCGAAGAACCUUACCCGGGCUAGACAACAGAGGACAGCCCUAGAAAUAGGGCCUUCCCUUCGGGGACCUCUGGUUCAGGUGCUGCAUGGCUGUCAG
rnacentral:rRNA from 1 species